rnacentral:rRNA from 1 species
ACAUCCAGCGAACUUGGCAGAGAUGCCUUGGUGCCUUCGGGAACGCUGAGACAGGUGCUGCAUGGCUGUCGUCAGCUCGUGUUGUGAAAUGUUGGGGUUAAGUCCCGCAACGAGCGCAACCCUUAUCCUUUGUUGCCAGCGAUUCGGUCGGGAACUCAAAGGAGACUGCCGGUGAUAAACCGGAGGAAGGUGGGGAUGACGUCAAGUCAUCAUGGCCCUUACGAGUAGGGCUACACACGUGCUACAAUGGCGCAUACAAAGAGAAGCGACCUCGCGAGAGCAAGCGGACCUCAUAAAGUGCGUCGUAGUCCGGAUCGGAGUCUGCAACUCGACUCCGUGAAGUCGGAAUCGCUAGUAAUCGUGGAUCAGAAUGCCACGGUGAAUACGUUCCCGGGCCUUGUACACACCGCCCGUCACACCAUGGGAGUGGGUUGCAAAAGAAGUAGGUAGCUUAACCUUCGGGAGGGCGCUUACCACUUUGUGAUUCAUGACUGGGGUGAAGUCGUAACAAGGUAGGCGUAGCGAG